rnacentral:rRNA from 1 species
GAUGAACGCUAGCGGCAGGCUUAAUACAUGCAAGUCGAGGGGCAGCACGGUUAGCAAUAACUGGUGGCGACCGGCGCACGGGUGCGUAACACGUAUACAAUCUACCUUAAACAGGGGAUAGCCUUUCGAAAGAGAGAUUAAUACCCCGUAAUAAAUUGAACGGCAUCGUUUGAUUUUGAAAGCUCCGGCGGUUUGAGAUGAGUAUGCGUCUGAUUAGCUAGUUGGUGAGGUAACGGCUCACCAAGGCGACGAUCAGUAGGGGAUCUGAGAGGACUAACCCCCACACUGGUACUGAGACACGGACCAGACUCCUACGGGAGGCAGCAGUAAGGAAUAUUGGUCAAUGGAGGCAACUCUGAACCAGCCAUGCCCGCGUGCAGGAUGACGGCCCUAUGGGUUGUAAACUGCUUUUAUACAAGAGAAAACCCUGGUACGUGUACCAGGUUGAUAGUAUUGUAAGAAUAAGCAUCGGCUAACUUCGUGCCAGCAGCCGCGGUAA